rnacentral:lncRNA from 1 species
GCUGUGCCUCGAGGAUUAGUUUAAACAGGGGGCUAUAAAAGAUGUAACAGAUGCAAACUGUAACACAAGGGCCAUUAACCCUUUCUCUGCCGGGCACACUCAGUCCCCACGCCCCACACCUAUUGUCUCCUGUGCUAGAAGCUUUGCAGAAAACCUGGAAAUUUUGGCCAGAAAUGGUGAGAAGAAAAAGCAUGAAGAAGCCGCGAAGUGUGGGGGAGAAAAAGGUGGAAGCGAAGAAACAGCUCCCGGAGCAAACUGUACAAAAACCUCGCCAAGAGUGUCGGGAGGCAGGACCGUUAUUCCUGCAGAGCAGGAGAGAGACGAGAGACCCUGAAACACGCGCCACCUAUCUUUGUGGGGAGGGAUAAUUGAAGCGCCCUGAGCGUGAGCAUCAUGUGAAAACGUGAUCGCCAAGUUUCUCUCUGGGAAAGGAUCUGGGAUAGAUUAUACCUUGAAGUCUCCGCAAACGCUUUAGUGGAAGAAAUGAAAUUCCACCUCCCUCCCUUCCUCCUCUCCCUCCCUUUCGCCUUCGCCUCCCUCCCCCCUCCCUCCCUUCUCCCCCCCUCCACCCCCCCCUCCCCGCCCGUCAAGCCUUUGGCAUCAUUAUCCUCAUCACUAAAUCCUACAGAGUACAGGGCGGAAAACGGUGCACACCAUUCACAGAACUGGAGAACUCCAAGGGGCGAAAGUUAAAGGGAAAGAUCCCGGGUCCUCAAUCCAGAUAGUCUCUUCUUAUACAGAUAUCUCUAAUGACCAGAUUUGAGAUGCACAUCAAAUUGUGUAGGUAUCUCAGUACAGCUUCUGGAACAAAGUUCUCUGCCCUUUCUCUUAUUGUUAUUUUUUUCUUUUUAGGUACCAGAGCCAGAAAAAAAAAUGCUGCAUGGGAGCUGCAUCUUAGGGCAUGUGUAUUAGGGUGUGUGCAUGAUGAAUUUCUGGACUGGAUCCCAAUAUUAAAAAGUAGUUUGGCAUUUUAAUAAAGGGUCUCUAAGUAAAUUAAAAUAGAACACUCGGUUGGCCGAUCUCUGAAUCUCUCUACACCUCGGGGAGACCUCACUACAAAGUAAGGGAGAGUGUGUAGGGAGGCAGGAGGAGAAACGAGAAAGGCCAUAGAGAAACUUAGCAGGGAAGGGAGAGCAUGAUAUUAAACGGCAUGGGGUCUAAGUUUUGGAGUAUAUAUUUUUUGAUAUUACAAUUAAAGUAAGAUUAAAAAGAAAA